AAGAUGUCCACCUUUGAAUCUAUAUUAGUUUCAUUAUUUGGUAAUAUUUUCAUAUAUUUUGACAAAGAAUACCCCCUUGAAUGCACCAGAACUUGCUUUUGAAUAGGCCUUCUAGGACCAAUGCCACAGUCUUCCAUUUGAGCUGAAAGGAGAACCGAAUGUUGUUGUAGCUGACUUAAAUCUAAACAGCAGACUUGAUCUGAAGAUGGCUACUGCUCCCAGAGGCUGAUGAAAUGACAGAACAAGCCAUUCCGUGGAGUUUGACACAGCAUCCGUUGGAUGACAGAUAUUAUCUGUUGACAACACAUCUGAAGGAGAGCAAGUCCUAUUGGGAAGGGAGACGCUGUCCUCAUCUCCCCACCACCAUGCUAUUUCCUCCAAUUAAGAAGUCACAGCAAGCCACACCUAUCUGGGAUUUGGAGGUGGAAGGGCUUCAUGGCAGCACUGCUUGGUCAGCUUUCCUAUGCUGAACAUACUGCUCGCAAGAUGCUGGCAAACAGAAAUGUAUUCUUCAAGAACUAGUAGAAUGUUAGCCAUGCUAGAGAUGACAGCUGGGGCAAUACGUGAAAACAGCCAUUUGAAAUCAGUACAGAUUUUUACACUGAGAUAAAUCCUUGCCCAAUGUGCUUUGGAGAAUACUGAAUUUAGCUGUUGAGGGCAGAACUUACCAUCAAACAAGAAGAAGAUUUCUACAACCUGAAGAGAGGAUUCCAUUGUUUUCAGUCACAAGGGGCAAGACAUACUCUGUUGGCUUACUUCACUAUCUUCUCAUCACAUUUGAUUUCAG